rnacentral:lncRNA from 1 species
CUUUUUACAAUUUCCAAAUAAACCCUAACUCUACAUAUUAUAAAUAUCCAAGACAAAUCCCUAGAGUAUAAAACAUUUAUUCAUUCAAGAGAAUACAAUAUUGAAGAUAAUUACUCAUCCAAAAUUCUCUUGCCUCAAUCACAUGAUUGAAACAUUGAAAAUCUAAAAGAUCAAAACACCAAAUAAAUCUUUACCAAAUAUCUUUCAAAGUUCUGAAGAUCUAAAGAGGUGACUAGAGUUUCAAUUCGUGAAGAACAAGUUCGUUCUUGGUGAUCCACAAAAAGAAAAGAAGUCCAGAGGUUCUUGAGCUGGUGUUCAAGCCCACAAUCGAGAGGAUCUUCAGUGAUUACAGGUUGGGGUUCAGAGUCUACUAAAGUUUAAUUAUGCUUGGAACAAAUCUGUAAGUUUAAUAUUUUUAGUAGAUUAUUACUGGCAAGUUUGUCCGGAGAUUUUCUCUUGAAGAGUUCUUUAAGGAUUUUUUCUUCGUAAAUAAAUCUUGGUGUUGUUUACUUUUACGCAUUUACUUUCUUGCUUGUGUGAUUGUCCUACUAUAAACUGUUUACAAAUCAUCUAAAUGUAAUAAUCUGUGACUUGUUGUAAUUACUGGAUAUUAAAUUUUAAAUUCAACAUGUUACACCUAUUCACCAUCCUCCAGGUGUAAGCUAUGUCAAACCUCGCUAUUUUAAUUGGUAUCAGAGCCUUAUUUUCUUUCUUGAACUAGCUUUAUGUAGAUGAGUCAACCACUAUUUGUUUCUCUUUACUUUGAUGGAAGUAAUUAUGCUUACUAGAAUAUUAAGAUGAGAGCCUUUUGAAAUUUAUGGAUGAGAGAGAUUGGGUGAGUGUAGAGAAAGGUCGAACAUCAUUUACAUUUGUUAGUUUUGUUACACCUACAUAUGUUUUCACUUAUAUUAAGGAUGAAUUAGUUGAGUGUAACUAAAAUAGUAAAGCAGUUCAUGCCAUUUUUAUGACUAUAUCAUCUGAAGAGUUUAAACCAGUGCAUAUAUGUGAGAUUGUUAUAGAAGUUUGUGAUAUUUUAGAAACCACCAUGAGGGAACUAAGAUUGUGAAAAAAUCUAAGUUGCAUAUGUAGAUCACUAUGUUUGAGGAAAUAAGGAUGAAAGAUCAUGAAUCCUAUGAUGAAUUCUAUGCUAAAUUGAAUGACAUAGUGAAUUUUAGUUUCAACCUCGGCGAACGAAUUCUUGAGACCAAAAUUGUGAUAAACAUUCUAAGAUCUCUAUUUGAGAGGUUUAAUCUAAGGUCACUAUUAUUGACGAAAGCAAAGACUUAGAUACAGUUAAGAUACAAAAACUUGUUGGAUUACUCCGAAACUAUGACCUAACCAUAUCUCACUUGAAGAAAAUAAGUAUAUUGCCUUAAAUAUUGUUAAGGAAGUGACAUGUUAAAAGAUGAGGAUGUUGCUUAUUUUGUUAAAAAAUUUAAGAAAUUUUGGGCAAAAUAAUAAGAGACCCUAGGAAAAAUACAAGAGUAGCUCUAGUAAAUUCAGGAAAGAAAGGAAAGAAGAAAGAUACUGGGAUGUCGGGAAAAAUUUCUUAACGUGUCAAACGUCAUGAGUGAUAGGAAUUUGGUCACAUUAUAGUUGAGUGACUUAGUAAUAAGUGGACCUUAGGUAAGGCUAUUAAUGUGUCUCUCACUAAUGAUGAGUCUAACUUAGGUAAUCAAAGUGAUUCUCCCAGUUCUGAGGAGUGUUCGAACUAUAUGACUUUUAUAACUGUGGUUAAGAGUGAAUCUAAAAAGGAAAGUGAGAAUGUUGAGAAUUUAGAACAGAAUAACUCUUUAGAUGAAGGAUCUAAAGAUGAAAGGGAGAUAUAUGAAGCUUGUGAUCAGCUUUUUGAGGAAAGUCUUAAGUUGAAUAUUGUGGUCAAACUUGAGGAAUCAACUAGAAGUAUGAAUUAGUUGAAGGUUGAGAAAGAGGUACUCUUGUGAGUGAUUAUGAGAAAUCUCAUACCCACCUUUGCUCUUUCUCUAAUGGAUUUAAGAAAACUUGACAAUAUCUUAGGAUUUAAAAAACUUGCUGGAAAUAAGGGAGGUUUAAUCUAUAGUGAAAAAGGAUCUCAUGCCACUACCUCUUCCGAAAACACAUUUGUACCUAUCUCUAUCAAGACCAAGAGUUUAGAAGUCACUAAACCCAAGAAAAGGAAAUCCUAGGAAAAAGGUCAUCUAUACAGUGUAGGGUUAGUCAACCUAAAGUCCAAAACUUGAAAUCUAGUGUUGAUCAUUUUUGACAAAUUUUCAUUUUGUUGGUAUCUCUUUACCUCCAUCUGACGCUUAGCAUUCUUGAAUCACAAUCUUGCAACACAACUUUUGAUUUAUUACAUUUUAGUCCCCACAGUUUUGAUUUCACUAUUUUUCUCUAUUUUUUUCACUUGUUUUCUCUAAUCCUUCGUCAAAUCAUAAUUUUACUUAUUAAACAUGAUAUAACACAAAUUAGGCAAUAUUUCAUCAAAAGAACUAUUAAAUAUCAAUAAGUAUAGCCCUAAAUAAGUGUAUAAAAUAUACUUAUCAUCAACUAUCAUUAAUUGUCAAGCAGCAAGCUCGUAUGAUAGUCGACAUUCCAUUACUUCAAUCCAUAUCUAACUGGCUUACAAUGGAUGUUGCUACACUUCAGAGGAUGUUCAAUCGAUGACAUAUCACUGGGAGAGUGAUCUAACAUAGAUGAUGCUUUGAGUCAGAGUAGAUUAUUGGGUAUCCUUUUGUUAUUCAUAACAAAAAAGGAGAUAAGAGUAUUUUGAUUCGGGAGUAGUAGUAAUAGUACUAAUAUUUAUUUGUAUUUUAAAAUUUGGCUAGCAAACAUUGCAUUUUGAUGUUUUGUAAUAUUGAUAUUAGGUUUGGUGUUUUGUAUAAUAUUGAUAUUAUAUCUUGAUGUUGCUAGCUUGGUAUAUGUUAAGCGAAAUGCUAUCUCAAUCGAUGCAUGCUAACUUUUUAUAUGUUUUCACGUACUUUCACACUUGGCAUUUGAGUUUAUGUAUUUCAAAAAACAUGUUGUACAAAACAAUGAAUAUGGUGUUGUGAUUCUAGGUUUAGUUUUGAUAGGAGUAAGAUUUUGUUUGUUGUGUACUCGAAAUAAAUGAUUUUGUCAUGAAAUGUCAAAUGGAGAGUUUGUCAGGUCCCAAAUAUAUUAGCAAUUUUCAUGUCCAAAAUGUUAAUUAAUUGAAUAAGUUUCAGGGAUUCAGAGGGUAUUUUGAAGGAAUCAAAGUCAACUCGAGAAGAUCAAGAAAAAGGAAAAUCGCUCAUCGACUGCCAGCAGACUGCUUGAGCGAUUUUAAUAGAAAGAGACCGCCCGCUAGGAGCCAAAUAGGCACAUGAACGACAGUGAUAUCUAGGUAAAAUCUGGUUCGCAAUUUUGUCUUUUUACAAUCCCAAAUAAACACUAACUCUACAUAUUAUAUAUACCUAAGCCAAAACUCAUCCCUAUUAAAUGUUACGCCUAUUCAUUCAAGAUAACACAAUAUUGAAGAUCAAUUACUCAUUACAAAAUUCUCUUGCCUCAACUAUAAGAUUAAAACAUCGAAAAUCCAAAUGAUCAAAGCACCAAAUAAACCUCUACAAAAUAUCUUUCAGAGUCCAAAGAGGUGUCUGGAGUUUCAAUUCAUGAAGAAUGCAUUCGCUUUUGGUGAUCUACCAGGAGAAAGUAAGUCCAAAGGUUCUAGAGCUGGUGCUUGAGCGCACAACCUAGGAGUUCGCCGGUGAUUAUACGUUGGGGUAAGAGUCUAUUAAUGUUUAGUUGUGUAUGGACCAAUCCUGUAAGUUUAAUAUUUCCACUGGAU